rnacentral:rRNA from 1 species
GACGAACGCUGGCGGCGUGCCUAAUACAUGCCAGUAGAACGCUGAAGCGAGGAGCUUGCUCUUCUUGGAUGAGUUGCGAACGGGUGAGUAACGCGUAGGUAACCUGCCUUGUAGCGGGGGAUAACUAUUGGAAACGAUAGCUAAUACCGCAUAACAAUGGAUGACCCAUGUCAUUUAUUUGAAAGGGGCAAAUGCUCCACUACAAGAUGGACCUGCGUUGUAUUAGCUAGUAGGUGAGGUAACGGCUCACCUAGGCGACGAUACAUAGCCGACCUGAGAGGGUGAUCGGCCACACUGGGACUGAGACACGGCCCAGACUCCUACGGGAGGCAGCAGUAGGGAAUCUUCGGCAAUGGGGGCAACCCUGACCGAGCAACGCCGCGUGAAUGAAGAAGGUUUUCGGAUCGUAAAGCUCUGUUGUAAGUCAAGAACGAGUGUGAGAGUGGAAAGUUCACACUGUGACGGUAGCUUACCAGAAAGGGACGGCUAACUACGUG